UUCGUGGGGUCAUUAUUUAUUUAAUGAAAAAGUUAAUUUGUAUUGUUUAUAAGAAAAUAAAAGUUGGCUUGAAUUGGCAUCUUGAGUUACAAUCUUAUCUUUCUACUGAGUUUCAGGGAUAUUACAGAGUUGCAAAGAUGACUCUGUUUAGCAAUGGAUCAGAAACGGCAAAUUUGGUGGUUAGUUCUGGUCUCCUCCAACAAUUAUGGGCUGCAAAUUCGAACCUGCUUGAAAAUGGUGAUCCAAAUGAAAGUCUUAGAUGCAAAAUUUACCCCCAACAAAACUACAACAUCUUGGCUUUUGCUACAUCCCCUUGGACACUUGAUGGAGAUGAGGCAGAUUUGGUUUCCUAAUCUACUUUUCCUCUCUUUGAAUUUCUAUGCUGCGAAAACAACCCAAGUUUCUCCAUUAACAAAGCUGCAAUUUCCGUCUUUGAUUCCUAUCAUGAAAAACUUUUAAAAAUCAGUUUUGUCAAGUCCCCAAAAAUAUCCCAUUGAUUAUCACUGGACACUCUCUGGGAGGCUCAAUUGCUUCGCUCUUCACCUUAUGGAUGUUGGACAACAUGGACUUAUCAAAAACCAAACGCCCACUUUGCAUCACUU